UACGUAGGGUGCGAGCGUUGUCCGGAAUUAUUGGGCGUAAAGAGCUUGUAGGCGGUUUGUCGCGUCUGCCCGUGAAAAUCCGAGGCUCAACCUCGGACUUGCGGUGGGUACGGGCAGACUAGAGUGUGGUAGGGGAGACUGGAAUUCCUGGUGUAGCGGUGAAAUGCGCAGAUAUCAGGAGGAACACCGAUGGCGAAGGCAGGUCUCUGGGCAGUAACUGACGCUGAGAGCGAAAGCGUGGGGAGCAACAGG
rnacentral:rRNA from 1 species